AUGGUAAUAGUUUAAAUUAAAACAGUGCUUUUGUAAAGCAAGAAUAUCAUGAUGGAUUUAUUAUA
rnacentral:tRNA from 1 species